UAGUCCACGCCCUAAACGAUGAGAACUAGGUGUUGGUCGCUAUAUGCGAUUGGUGCCGUAGCUAACGCGGUAAGUUCUCCGCCUGGGGAUUACGGUCGCAAGAUUAAAACUCAAAGGAAUUGACGGGGGCCCGCACAAGCGGUGGAGCAUGUGGUUUAAUUCGAUGCAACGCGAAGAACCUUACCAGCCCUUGACAUACUGGUCGCGGAUUUCAGAGAUGAUUUCUUUCAGCUUGGCUGGACCAUGUACAGGUGCUGCACGGCUGUCGUCAGCUCGUGUCGUGAGAUGUUGGGUUAAGUCCCGCAACGAGCGCAACCCUCAUCCUUAGUUGCUAACAUUUAGUUGAGAACUCUAAGGAAACUGCCGGUNAUAAACCGGAGGAAGGUGGGGAUGACGUCAAGUCUUCAUGGGCCCUUAUGGGGCUGGGGCUACACACGUGCUACAAUGGCGAUGACAAAGGGGCAGCGACUCCGCGAGGGAGAAGGCUAAUCUCUAAAAGUCGUACUCA
rnacentral:rRNA from 1 species